GCAGCAAGUACACUAAAACCCUAGGCACUAUAGCCACCAGGUCGAAACCUAACCAAUAUGGCGGUAGUUUAAAAAUUCAGGGGAACUUACUAAGUAAAUGAUAACCACCAAGAAAAUUGACUUUAUUUAACAUUUUACAUACCGUCGUCGACAGAUUUACUAUAAUAGUACAUCAACCAAUAAAAAAUAAAAGGACAGAUCAAGGUGUAGACAAUGAUAAUGUUUUAGCGAGUUACUAUAAUAAAUCAAUUCACCCCUCAAUUAUAAUAUUGAUACCUGUAGGACUUGAAAGUAAUAUAUAUUAAGUAUAGUAUAUGAAUAUCCCUUAAACUGUGCACAA
rnacentral:rRNA from 1 species